CCUACGGGAGGCAGCAGUGAGGAAUAUUGGUCAAUGGGCGUAAGCCUGAACCAGCCAAGUCGCGUGAGGGAUGAAGGUUCUAUGGAGCGUAAACCUCUGUUAUAAGGGAAUAAAGUGUGGGACGUGGCCUAUUUUGUAUGUACCUGAUGAAUAAGGAUCGGCUAACUCCGUGCCAGCAGCCGCGGUAAUACGGAGGAUCCGAGCGUUAUCCGGAUUUAUUGGGGUGAAAGGGUGCGUAGGCGGCCUGUUACGGCAGCGGGGAAAGUCUGUGGCUCAACCAUAGAAUUGCCGUUUAAACUGGGGGCCUUGCGUAUGUUUGCGGCAGGCGGAAUGCGUGGUGUAGCGGU
rnacentral:rRNA from 1 species